AUGCAAGUCGAGCGAACUGACGAGGAGCUUGCUCCUUUGACGUUAGCGGCGGACGGGUGAGUAACACGUGGGUAACCUACCUAUAAGACUUGGAAUAACUCCGGGAAAACCGGGGCUAAUGCCGGAUAACAUAUCGAACCGCAUGGUUCGAUAGUGAAAGACGGUCUUGCUGUCACUUAUAGAUGGACCCGCGCCGUAUUAGCUAGUUGGUGAGGUAAUGGCUCACCAAGGCAACGAUACGUAGCCGACCUGAGAGGGUGAUCGGCCACACUGGAACUGAGACACGGUCCAGACUCCUACGGGAGGCAGCAGUAGGGAAUCUUCCGCAAUGGGCGAAAGCCUGACGGAGCAACGCCGCGUGAGUGAUGAAGGUCUUCGGAUCGUAAAGCUCUGUUGUUAGGGAAGAACAAAUGUGUAAGUAACUGUGCACAUCUUGACGGUACCUAACCAGAAAGCCACGGCUAACUACGUGCCAGCAGCCGCGGUAAUACGUAGGUGGCAAGCGUUAUCCGGAAUUAUUGGGCGUAAAGCGCGCGUAGGCGGUUUUUUAAGUCUGAUGUGAAAGCCCACGGCUCAACCGUGGAGGGUCAUUGGAAACUGGAAAACUUGAGUGCAGAAGAGGAAAGUGGAAUUCCAUGUGUAGCGGUGAAAUGCGCAGAGAUAUGGAGGAACACCAGUGGCGAAGGCGGCUUUCUGGUCUGUAACUGACGCUGAUGUGCGAAAGCGUGGGGAUCAAACAGGAUUAGAUACCCUGGUAGUCCACGCCGUAAACGAUGAGUGCUAAGUGUUAGGGGGUUUCCGCCCCUUAGUGCUGCAGCUAACGCAUUAAGCACUCCGCCUGGGGAGUACGGUCGCAAGACUGAAACUCAAAGGAAUUGACGGGGACCCGCACAAGCGGUGGAGCAUGUGGUUUAAUUCGAAGCAACGCGAAGAACCUUACCAAAUCUUGACAUCUUUUGACCACUCUAGAGAUAGAGUUUUCCUCUUCGGAGGACAAAAUGACAGGUGGUGCAUGGUUGUCGUCAGCUCGUGUCGUGAGAUGUUGGGUUAAGUCCCGCAACGAGCGCAACCCUUGAGCUUAGUUGCCAUCAUUAAGUUGGGCACUCUAAGUUGACUGCCGGUGACAAACCGGAGGAAGGUGGGGAUGACGUCAAAUCAUCAUGCCCCUUAUGAUUUGGGCUACACACGUGCUACAAUGGACAAUACAAAGGGCAGCGAAACCGCGAGGUCAAGCAAAUCCCAUAAAGUUGUUCUCAGUUCGGAUUGUAGUCUGCAACUCGACUACAUGAAGCUGGAAUCGCUAGUAAUCGUAGAUCAGCAUGCUACGGUGAAUACGUUCCCGGGUCUUGUACACACCGCCCGUCACACCACGAGAGUUUGUAACACCCGAAGCCGGUGGAGUAACCAUUUGAGCUAGCC
rnacentral:rRNA from 1 species